rnacentral:lncRNA from 1 species
UAAAAUAUUCUGAGGACUCCAUGUGUCACUCUGGAUUAUCAUUUGUCCUCAAAUGAAUAUGCUAAUAACAUUUAGGUUUCUAUUGAUCUUUUACUUAAUUUAGAAAGAAGCUUCACUGAUGCAUUACAUUCGUUGCUAUGCAAUGUCAAGGAAUACUAUCAUUAUGAUUAGUACCAUCUGCAACAAAUGAGAGGAAGCAACACACAACAGAGCUGAAGAUUCAGAGCCUCUCUCCCAGCUGACUUGGGUGUGUACUAGUACACUGCCUCUAGAUUUUUACAACCGCAUGCAUACAAUCCACAGGGCAAACCACUUCAAUAGAACAUGGCUGGCAGCCAUAUGGUCACAUAUGAAUCCAACAGUUAAUUUAGCAAAGAAAACUGCUUGUAACAAGUUUUGAAUAUGUUAUCCCAGGUAGUACUUUGUUGACAAAUGAGAUGAUUGCCCAGAAAAUGAUAGUAACAUUUGUAAAAAGAUUGUCACCUCCCCGGAUGGUUCCUUCAGCUCUAACAUUUGUAGGAUCAAAGCUGUAACCAUCCAGUCAUCACUCUUCACAUGCAGAGCACACACAUGGUGUGUGGUUAGGAUUCUGUCCCUUUAUAAUUCUUUGGCAUCAGGCGUGGAUACAAGGGAAAGCAAAAGUAUCUGGGUGUUUUGUGAAUUUUGUUUAUAUUUUACUGAAGAUAGUUGUUUAAACUCUGGGGAAAUUAAAUCUUCUACAGCCAUUCAUAGACGUGAGAAGUGCACAGUUUUAGUUAAAUGAACACUAUGGUAAAGAUUUCCUCAGAAGAAAUCCAUAACAGUUUUAGUCUAAUUUUAUCAGUUAUUUUUUCAGUAAUGGUACGACUUAAACAUUUGGAUAUUUAUUACAUGUACCACAAAAAUAAAAUUUGUUGAAUUUCUG